CGGUUGUCCUCAGGCCGCAGCGGGAGGAGCGGGAGGAGCGGGAGGGGCUGUGCGCAGCCCGCGGACCCGGCCCGACUUCGCCAGCGACUUCCUGGAACAAUAAGCCCCAGGCCUGAGCGCCGUUGGCCCGCCCCGGCCGAGAGCCGCUGCGCCGCGAACCCUCCCUCGGGCCCGCUGUGGCGGCGGGGCGCUGAGGCGUGACCCGGCGCGCCCCGGGGUUGUUUGCCGGCGACGACGGGGAAACAGCCCGAGCCCGCCGGGACACUAGCCUGCCUGCUCCACCGCUCUCGAAGACCUGCCCUCCCGGAGCGCUGGAGUCCGCAGCGGCGCCGAGGGCCCCUCCCCCGGACCUGCGGGCUCUGAGCAGCCCAGUGAAGCCAUUUUACAGAGAAGCAAAUCAAUGCUGGGAAGGACCAACACCUUUGCCCAAGAUCCACUGAAAGAGGCAGACCUGGACUCAACUGCAUGGCCACCUGUCACCCAAGUCCAAGCAUUAGCAUCACACCAUGCUGCUUAUGGAAGAAGCGUGAGACACAGUUCCAACCCCUCCAGUAGCUAACAGGUCUCUGGGAGACAGGAUCAGUAUGAACAGAUUCAGAGGAGGAACAGAGAUAAUGUUUGUUGAAACUUGAUUCUAUGGGAUUUUCAUCAGAACUCAGAGGUUGGCACUUACGCACAGACCUACUGUAUGGAGCACGUGGAUUGGUCAGCACAAGGAGGUGCUGUGGUGCAUCACCCAAUUUCCCCUUCUGGACCCAAGCCACGCGGCAUGUGUGAUCCUAGUUCGCCGACCAGGGAUUGAACCUGUG